rnacentral:misc_RNA from 1 species
GUGAAUCAUCAAAUCUUUGAACGCAAAUUGCACUCUCUGGUAUUCCGGAGAGUAUGCCUGUUUGAGGGUCAGUUUAAAUACAAAUCGGUGUGGUUGCUGCCUUUCGUGGUGACGCACCGGAUGUGGGUCGUCUUGCCUUCGGUUAAGUGACCUAAAAUUUUGCAUGAUUUUUUCGCACGUAUUUCAAUGAUUUUACGUACGUUUGCGAUGUCGAAUACUAGGUGCGGUCAUCCUCAUGAUCCGCGCCUAUCAUUUCUCAUCAAACUGACCUCAAUUCACAUAAGCGUACCCGCUGAACUUA